CGAUCACUAGAUCAUUUUGGUGGGAUUCACUCAGGAAAGAUGUAAAAGAGUAUGUGCAGGCAUGUUCUGUGUGUGCAGUUUCUAAGGUGACUCAUGCACUUCCUUGUGGCCUGUUGCAGCCUCUUCCUGUUCCUGAGAUUCCAUGGUCCCACUUGUCCAUGGACUUUAUUGUUGAGCUUCCUAGCUCUGCUGGGUUCACUACUAUUCUCAUGGUUGAAGACUGAUUUUCUAAGAUGGC
rnacentral:lncRNA from 1 species